rnacentral:rRNA from 1 species
AACUUCUUCAUUUUAUGGAGAGUUUGAUCCUGGCUCAGGACGAACGCUGGCGGCGUGCCUAAUACAUGCAAGUCGAGCGCGUGAAGCAACGUGAUCCCUUCGGGGUGAUUGUUGUGGAUCGAGCGGCGGACGG